rnacentral:sRNA from 1 species
GCUCCAACUUCCUACAUAGUUAUAUUUAAUGUCUAAGAAUAAAACUUCUUCCAACGACAUGUUUUGUACUGUACAUUACUAGUAUGCUUAUCGUACUCCCUUUCGCACAGGCAUGGUAGAAGGAGAUGAUCAGAAUCAAGACUCCCGUUUAGUCGCCGAAGCAUCUUUCUUUACUUUUCACUCUCCGCAUAUUCAUCACUGACACACAGUGUCCCAGUGCCCACUCCGUGAUCCACACACACACACACACUCACUUACUCACUCACUCACAUAACUCCUCCCCCUUCCCCCACCCCCUUUUAUUUUCACUUUCACAAGCCAAAAUGCCAUUUCUCUUCCGGAGUCGCGUUUGCCUUUUUGUCUCCGCACCCAACUCAGUUGUGUGAAUGAAAGGGAGGGGUUGAACUAUUUCCAGAAAAAUACUAUCUCCUGAUUAUACUUUGCCUCCAAAGUUACUUCCUACAAAUAUCAAGAGAUACGGAAGGAGUCACAUUGCCCAGCAAAGACGCGACAGCUGAC